rnacentral:lncRNA from 1 species
UGCAAGUACGCAGGCUAAUGUAGAAGAGAGAGCAUCCUUGACAAGAGAGGGGUGGAGACCAUGAAUUCCCCAAGAGCCAUCAGGAUGUUGAUUCUUUAUUAUCCAAUUAAGACACUCUGGGAAGCAUGGAAACUGCGGAAAUUCUGGCAAGGGGACCAUAGCUACCCAUGCAGUGUCAUAGGAAGAAGAUGAAAGAUCAACAUUAGGUAUUUGCUCCCUGAUUCUUUUCUUUGAUACUUCUGUGAGAUACUGGGCUGAAGCCGGCAACCCCAGCCGACUUUAGCUCAACACCCUUUUUGGAAGGGGCAGAACAGGGGAUCGCAGACGCGAUCCCCUCCGAUUUCUCCAGGCACAAGGACGCCGCGGGCACUCUGCGGCUACACCGUGGUAGUUUCGCGUCCACCCCGCGGCCGCACGAGUGGCCGCUGAUUUUGCCCUACCGCCGCGAAAAUUGCGGCGGAGAGCCAUUGAAAUGGGGCAAUAAAACCCCCGUUCUUCCUCUUCAAAAAGUAUAUAUUGUCCAGUUAUAUUAUUUCAAUACUUAUAGGACACAUGCAUAUAGCAUAUGCAUAUUAACAGUCUUUAUAUAGAUACAAGAUUUUAGAUUAACAUGAUGAACAAUGAGAUAAUCAAAUCAGAACGUAGUAUGUUAUAGUAUACAUGUCUUGUCAUGAGAAGAUUGCUUAUGAAAAAUUCGAAAACAUGAAGAGAAUCCUAAGAUAUAGAUAACCAAGGGAACCACACACCUUUGCAGCUCUAAAACUCUCAUGUGAAACAUGACAUCUAUGUCAUUUUGGCUAAUAGGAAGAUCUAAACCCAUAUCAAUGGCAUAUCCAAGCAUUCCAGGAAAUAUGAUCUCAAAGCCAAUAGGAGAAUGCAACUUCUCAUCCAUAGCAGAGGAAAAAUAAGAUCCAACAAAGUGGAGCCCUUCAUUUUGAGGCAUAAUAUUCUGUUUUAAUGCGCAUGCAGUAAAAAAAAAUUGCAUAUGAUCUUGUGUUCUUUGAAGAUACCCCUUCUGACAUGUUCUUCACCAAUAUUCCAUCGCUUUAGUGCAAGUACGCAGGCUAAUGUAGAAGAGAGAGCAUCCUUGACAAGAGAGGGGUGGAGACCAUGAAUUCCCCAAGAGCCAUCAGGAUGUUGAUCCUUUAUUAUCCAAUUAAGACACUCUGGGAAGCAUGGAAACUGCAGAAAUUCUGGCCAGGGGACCAUAGCUACCCAUGCAGUGUCGUAGGAAGAACAUGAAAGAUCAACAUUAGGUAUCUGCUCCCUGAUUCUUU